rfam:Salmo salar isolate Sally breed double haploid chromosome ssa13, whole genome shotgun sequence.
UCCUGUGUGGCUCAGUUGGUAGAGCAUGGUGUUUGCAACACCAGGGUUGGGGGUUCAAUUCCCACGGGGG